rnacentral:rRNA from 1 species
UACGUAGGGGGCAAGCGUUGUCCGGAAUCAUUGGGCGUAAAGAGCGUGUAGGCGGCCCGAUAAGUCCGCCGUGAAAGCCCAGGGCUCAACCCUGGGAUGCCGGUGGAUACUGUCGGGCUAGAAUCCGGAAGAGGCGAGUGGAAUUCCUGGUGUAGCGGUGAAAUGCGCAGAUAUCAGGAGGAACACCGAUAGCGAAGGCAGCUCGCUGGGACGGUAUUGACGCUGAGACGCGAAAGCGUGGGGAGCAAACAGG